UACACAGAAUGAAAGAGGAGAGAGGGAGGGAAAGAAGUGAAAGAGGGGAGAAGGGGAGAAGGGGGGGAAAGGGGAAGAUUGAAACCAAAAAUCUUUAUCUAUCCAAAUAGAUGGAGAAGAGGCAACGUGGGACCUUUUUGUCAAUAACCCGUGAUAUCGACAUGGCAUCUCUCCACUCUGUCUCUCUAAAGGAAAACAUACCAAUGACUCUUUAGCAAAGAGACGGCAGAGAAGCAUGUCGAAGUGCAUAAACCAAAAAUGACAAAAGAUAACUUUACUAUGUGACAAACGAAUGGCGACAAGGACAAAAAAAAAUGGAGAGGAGAACUGUGCUUACGUUUUCCCUUUUUUAAUUGUUUCGAAAAAGCUGCAGGUCUGAAGGAAGAGGAGUAGGGAGGAUGAGUUUAAACCAAAAAUUUACCCAAGGAGGAGGACGUGGAGGAGGAAUACACAAUGACAAAAAAAAACAAAAAAAAAACGGCAACCAUACCAAAAUCCCAAAUACCAAAAACCAAAAAUACGGAGAGAAAAGCUUUAUUCAAAGGACGUGUAAAUACUGAAGCUAUCCAGGACCAGGACUCUACUGCUACUCACACACACACACAUCAAGAGCCAAUCCAUCCUGUCAUCAACUCAUCCUGUCUGUGUCAGCCCAUGUGUCUCUUAUCGGUUUUCAUGCUCGAUAUACUGAAUAAUUUUGUAAAAGAUUGUUACUGAACCGGUCAGGAGCUCACGUAUGAAUGAUUGCCUCUGUAUCUUCAUGUCUCUUUACCUACCUCUGGUUCUAAGAGCAUAGGAUAGCUUUCCUGUCCCCUUUGUUAGUUCACAAGUCAAUGACAGAGGCUUGUUAUUCAGUAUCUGUUUUUUACUCUUUGACAAGUACAGUUUGGAUUUGUUUUUUAAAUUAUUUAUUAGUAUAAUUUUAUACUCCAACUCCUAUUUAUUGUUGCAGCUUUUUUUUUAGCGCUAUAGCUUCUGGGGUUCAAAUCAUCAUCAAGUGUCAUCAUCAUUGUCUUCAUCAUAUGUAUUUUUGUCAUCAACGUGCAUUUUUUUUUUGUUGUUACCGUGACUAUUCUGCAGGAGCAGAGAUGACGCAGGUGAAGAGAUGCUCACCAAGUGCCACAUAUCCAAAAUAGAGUUGGCACGCUGAUUUCAAGGUGUGAAUGAAUUUAUUAAGACCUGAACAGGUGACAUAUUGUGCUGUUAAUCAGACCACUCUUUCCUCACUCUUAGAGAUAACCCAUUAUCAGUGACUCCGUGGCUAAAUGAACAUGCCCUGGAAAACUUCACAUACUGAAAAUGGCGCUUGUUAAAGAGUGGCGCCCAUUUUGAAAGUAUGAAAUAGGGCUCUGAUUGGAGAUUUAAAGUAAUAACCGUUGAGACUGAAGGCUAAAUAAGUCAAUAAAGCCAAGUUUAGUCACAGCCGGCUCUCAUUCCUGCCUCGUCAAUCAGCAUAGGCGCCCCUACACCUGUCUGUCUAGACAUGUUUACUGAUAUUUGUCUGUUUCCAUCAUCACUCCAUCGAUCACAUUUCACUGUCAUUUUCCACCUCAGACUGCCAUUAAUUCUCAAAUGGAAACCAAAGCAUUCUCAAGGCUGGGCUGUUCUUGAAGAACCUCAGCCAAGACAUAUGAACACAAUAAAGACCCAGAGGGGCUGAGGACAGGACGUAAGCCCCCUGGUAUAAUACCCUCCACCUGGCCCGUCCAAAAACCCACGGGGAAGCUUUAUUUAGGGAACUGAUCCUUUACUCCGAACCCCCAGAAAGAAGGGUACACUUUGGACAGGGCGAGAGAGGGACACACUGUAGUGAGGGGAGCAGGCGUCACACUUUUUUUGUAAGAGGAUACCAAAAAUAAACCCAAACCAAAAAAAAAAAAAAAACACAACCCAAGGAAUGACAGAAGCAAACCAAAAAGAACCCUAACCAAAUGUGGCUGGAGGGAGGAGGGGAGGAGGACAAAAUGCAGGUGUGUCGAAAGACGUGAAGCCGUCUGUCUAUCUGUUAGCUUUAGGGCUGCAGCAUACGCCCCACUCUGAAACUGUGUAGCAUGGAAGGAGGGAUGGAUAGACAGGCGGACAGAAGAAGGACAGACAAUUCCUCCCCUCCUCUGCCUCUCACUCUCUCCAGCUCAGCCCUCUGGUCCUGGAUGGAGCUAAACGCAAAUGACCUCACUGAACUGAAAUCUUCUAAAAAAAAAAUCUGUUUUUAUUUUUCUGUUGGUUGGUUCUGAUUGUUUUAUCUCUGCUGUGUCUCUUGAUGCCGUUUUAUGUACUGUACUUUAGUGCUUAUUACUCAUUUGGAAUAACGUACUCGCUUACUUACUACAAGAGCUCCUUAUUUUUUUCGUAGUCGUGCUAGAGAUUUUUAUCAGGUGGUUGGAAAAAAUACUGUGAAAAUUUAGCUUCCAGAUUUUUAUUAGAUAAAGAAACAGACUGUCUUGGCAGAAGGAAAAAAGACACACAAAAAAGCCAAAAACAAAGAGUUGAAUAGCAAACUGAACCAAAUACUGAACCAAACCAAACACAGUAGAGAGGAACAGGAACGGCCUUCUCUGCAUGAGGGCACAGAAAUGGGUCAAUUUGUCUGAGGUGAAACUGUGCGUCUGAAGUGUUAAUGGAAGGCCAAAUGGUUUUUAAAAAGGAAACGGAAAAGGGUCUGCAGUGAUGUCUUGUCAUUAACUUUGACCCCAGAGGCGGCAGAAUAUACACACUUCAGACACAGAAUAACACACACACACACACACACAGCAGCGGCCUCAGUCAGGUUGACCGUUUGAGAGUUGGACGUAAACGUAUCCAAAGAAUAUUUGGUUUGAUCCACACCAGAAAACAGUCGACACGCGAGAAUCGUUUCAUGAACCAAACUUUAGAUGUGGGGUUUGCACCUUAAAGGUGAAACCUUUUCUCCACAUUGACUCUUAGACGGAAUGUAUCUGUUAGUGCUUCUAUAGAUUUUGUAGAAAAAAAGAUCUAUGUUCUACUGCUUACUUAUCGCUAAUGUAUUAAAAAGAAAAAAAAAUGUACAAAAAAGACUUUGAGAAAAAAAAAGAUCCUAAAAACAUUGAUGAUGAUAACUUGAUUUUAGACCAAAAAUUGUAACUAUCUCUCUUUGGAAUUUUUUUAUUUCUCCUUAUUAAUGAUGAUUUAGACUUUUGAUUGUACUAUUUAUUCAGGGUAGGGUUGAUUUAAUUGCUUGUUAUCUUUUUUUUUGCCUUGCUAUUUAUUUCCUAAUUUAUUUCUAGAGGUGCUUUUUCUUUUUUUUUUUUUUUGUGUUCUGGGAUGUAUUUGUGAUGUAAUUGUUUUUGCCCCCUGCUGAAGUUCUUUCUUACUUCUUUAAACCAAAUAAUACCACAAAUGCAACCACGGGUCCUGUAGGGACUUAAUAAGGGAAUAUGGCUGAUUAGAUGGUCAGCCAUUAAGAUAUUCUCCUCCUCACUGAGACAACUCUCCUCUUAAAGCGGAGGGGAAGCUCACAGCAUUGAGAGGCAGCACUGUGUUGUUUGAGACGCGGUGCUGCUUCAGUUCUCUACAUUUUCUCCACAGGGAGAACACGCUGAAAGCUUUACAGCUACACAACCAAAAACACAAAAGAAGAAGAUCAACUGGGGCAAAGGUUUUUUUUACACGAUAGGGAGGAAAGAAGGAGGCAGGAGAGAAGAGGCCGAUUUUGGAUUUCCAAUCGUAAAUUGCCUGCUUACCUCUCACACUGUCUCAGUCUCUUUUUCAGUUUUUGUUUCCACUUUUCUAGAAGUUGGUUUCAACUUUUUUCUUCAUCCACUGUAGGAUGUAAAAGAGAGAUAGUUCAUCAUAUACCUCAUAUUCUUUGAUGAUAAACCAAAUAGAUGAAUGCUUUAAAAUGCGGAGUUCCGGUGGGGAUCGGGGUACCGGGAUGGUGCGCGUGUGGACGGUGUGUUUGUGUGGCCGGGAGCAGACACAGUACGGCUGGGUCACAGGCUAAAGGUUGUUGCCCUAAUGGGGGUAAAUGCAGAGGUUUAGAAUUGAUCUGGGAAGUAACAGAUCAUCGACUAGAUUGCAGUUUUUCUCCAUGGGAUUCAGAGGGUGCCAUUUAAGGUCAAAGGGCCACACUGGUCCAUGCUCCGGUCCACACACACACACACACCUGGUCCCCCUGGAAAACACCCCCGCCGUCUGUGUUGAGCUUUGAACACAGCCCUCUCCUCAUAUCUGACCCUCACUGCUUCCUCCCUGUCAAACACGGACUGUGGGCUUAAAGCUGCUCUUUGGCACAGAUCAAGAAUCAAAUCUGGAUCCAAUUUUUGGGCUGAAAAAAAGCUUGAAGAUUCCUGCCUCAGAGCAACUUUAUCACCAAGGUCGCCGAGCCCUCUCUCGCCUUUAGGUGUUCGUUGCCUGAUGAGGGGCCUUAUUGACCAUUUGAUGUCCACGUGUAUUGGGGAGCGCCGUAGGGCAGCUAACCGGGGAACGGCUGAGACCAGGGUUGCUAGGUGACACAUCCAGACACUUCUCACGACUCGGGUGUGUUUUGAGACAUUGGAAGAGUGAAGGAGAGGUGUGCCUGUGAUCGAACUCUAAGGGUCCAUUUUGUUGUUCAGCUCUCUCCGUGCAUUCAGAGGAAAUGGAAGCAGUGCUCUGCUGCGUUUCUGACCAGGCACUUUUUUUGUGAACCUCAGGGUUUCAGGGACCGGGUGUAAAGUGUAGAUCCCUCCG